rnacentral:rRNA from 1 species
AGUGAACGCUGGCGGCAGGCCUAACACAUGCAAGUCGAACGGCAGCACAGGAGAGCUUGCUCUCUGGGUGGCGAGUGGCGGACGGGUGAGGAAUAUAUCGGAAUCUACCCUUUCGUGGGGGAUAACGUAGGGAAACUUACGCUAAUACCGCAUACGAACUGAGGUUGAAAGCGGCGGACCGCAAGGCGUCGCGCGGAUGGAUGAGCCGAUAUCCGAUUAGCUAGUUGGCGGGGUAAAGGCCCACCAAGGCGACGAUCGGUAGCGGGUCUGAGAAGAUGAUCAGACACACUGAAACUGAGACACUGUCCAGACUCCUACGGGGGGCAGCAGUGGGGAAUAUUGGACCAUGGGCGCAAGCCUGAUCCAGCCAUGCCGCGUGUGUGAAGAAGGCCUUCGGGUUGUAAAGCACUUUUGUUGGGAAAGAAAAGCGGUCGGUUAAUACCCGGUCGUUCUGACGGUACCCAAAGAAUAAGCACCGGCUAACUUCGUGCCAGCCGCCGCAGUAA